CUGAACUCUACUCACUGGACUUCUUUUCCUGGAGAGGUCACUGAAUGUUUGAGUUGAGAAGAUUGACCACACUGAUUUCUUUGUCUGGUUCUGGAAAGGCAAGGCUUCUGUUUGGUAGAAACAAUGUCCAGAAUGAAUAAGAUGCCCCUGAUUGCGCUUGUGGAAAUGGCCAUAGAGAUGUUGGAAGGUAGAGAAAGAGCCACCGCGUGAAUGCAUCAGCUCAGUGGAAUGGUCAUAUUUGGAGUUGACAGAUGGAAAUAGGAAGAGGGCCUUACGUUUUCAUUUCUUGGGUGGAGGAGUGUUAUUUACCAAGCUGGAAGCUGAGAUUGGUGCACAUUGUCUGCACCUGACUGAAGAGCUAAGGCCUCUGGCUGAUCGCUUGUCUCUUCCACUGUGGGAUUGCAGGCAGGUCAGCACUGCUUGACACAGAAGUCCUUGCUACUACAGGUCGUCUGCCACCUUUUCAUUGGAGAGUUUUUAUCUAAGGUAACUUUUCUUUCUUUAGCUAUGGCUCCUUCCUUAUUGGAGAUACAUUCUUUGGCAUUGGUGGAUGCACAUCGAUAGUACCAGGGACUUUGCCGUUGGAGGAUGCCCAUGUGCAGUACCAGGGACUUUGCCGUUGGAGGAUGCCCAUGUGCAGUACCAGGGACUUUGCCAUUGGAGGAUGCACAUCCACAGCACCAGAGACUCCCAAGCUAUUCUUGACUAACACCACUCCAACAUUUCUGUUAUGGCCUCAGUUUUCACUAUUAGUUGCAAGUUGAAUGCUUCCCAUGUGCGCAUAUUUUAAAUGUUUGAAUUUGUGGUGCUCUUCUCAAGCCAUGGGGCCUCUGGAAGUGAGGACCAACUGAAAGAAGCAAGUCACUAAUGGUAGCCCUUUGAAGGUAAUAGCCAGGCCUUUGUCUCCAGGUUGGCCAUGAUAGAAGGCAUCUCUUCCACGUGCUGUUGUCUCCAUGAACAGCUCCACAGCUUCCCUGCUAUGAUGGACUGAGUUCCUUUUGAAACUGUAGUCUAAAAUAAAUGCUACAAAAGUAUCAGUUUGAUGUCAAAAGUAACUGAUGCUAUGUCAUUCCAGGCUUUAGUAGUCAUUAUUAGCUACCAGUCUGGUCAAUGUCUGCCACACGCUCUUAGACUCUGCCUACUGGUUCCCUUAGCUUUCACUCACUGGCUGAAUUGCUCUUACCUUUCUCCACUUGCAGUACAGGAAAUGCAAACAUAGACCAUACCAACUAGAUACACUCCAGAGCAGGGAUUUAUGCCUGGGGGCAUUUAACAAAGUCUGCAGACAUUUCUGGUCAUUGCAACAUGGUCAAGGGAGGGAUACUGGCUUCCAGCAGUCCAAGUCAAGGGUCUAUGAAAACUCUCCUAGCACAUGGGGACAGUUCCCACCCCCAAAAGAGUCAUCCAGCCUGAGAUGGCAACCUUGUUAGACUAAGAAACUGUUAUCCAGAAGUAUUUGUUUUGGUUUGCUGCUGAGACAAAUCUAAAAAUAAUAGGAUCAAUUAAAAAGAAAAUAAGUUGCAAUCAGUUAUGAAAAACAGCAAAGGGAUCUGAAGAUGGUAAACAGCAA